rnacentral:rRNA from 1 species
CGGGGGAGCAAGCGUUGUUCGGAUUUACUGGGCGUAAAGGGCGCGUAGGCGGCGCAACUAGUCACUUGUGAAAUCUCCGGGCUUAACCCGGAGCGGCCAAGUGAUACUGUCGUGCUAGAGUGCGGAAGGGGCUACUGGAAUUCUCGGUGUAGCGGUGAAAUGCGUAGAUAUCGAGAGGAACACCUGUGGCGAAGGCGGGUAGCUGGGCCGACACUGACGCUGAGGCGCGAAAGCUAGGGGAGCGAACGGGAUUAGAUACCCCGGUAGUCCUAGCCUUAAACGAUGGAUGCUUGGUGUCCGGGGUUACAUAGUCCCCGGGUGCCGUCGCUAACGCAUUAAGCAUCCCGCCUGGGGAGUACGGUCGCAAGACUG